UUGGCGAACGGGUGAGUAAUACAUAGGUAACCUACCCUUAAGACGAGGAUAGCCAUUGGAAACGAUGGAUAAAACUGGAUGGGAUAUAGAGGAAGAAUCUUUUAUAUUUAAAAGAGAGAUCUGCUUAAGGAGGGGCCUGUGGCGCAUUAGCUAGUUGGUGGGGUAAGGGCCUACCAAGGCGAUGAUGCGUAGCCGGACUGAGAGGUUGAACGGCCACAAUGGAACUGAGAACGGUCCAUACUCCUACGGAAGGCAGCAG
rnacentral:rRNA from 1 species